UAAAGACACAACUAAGAGAAGCUCAAUCUUUAUUUAAAACAGGUUUCAUCACAAGGUCAUUCAGAGAGUUCAGGGAACAUCAGGAAACAGUUUCAGACAGGUUUCAUCACAAGGUCAUUCAGAGAGUUCAGGGAACAUCAGGAAACAGUUUCAGACAGGUUUCAUCACAAGGUCAUUCAGAGAGUUCAGGGAACAUCAGGAAACAGUUUCAGACAGGUUUCAUUAGAGGUCAUUCAGAGAGUUCAGGGAACAUCAGGAAACAGUUUCAGACAGGUUUCAUUCGAGGUGUAAACUAAAGGAUCACAGCAUUAUUAU